rnacentral:rRNA from 1 species
AGUUCGAUUAUGGCUCAGAUUGAACGCUGGCGGGAUGCUUUACACAUGCAAGUCGAACGGCAGCACGGACUUCGGUCUGGUGGCGAGUGGCGAACGGGUGAGUAAUGUAUCGGAACGUGCCUAGUAGCGGGGGAUAACUACGCGAAAGCGUAGCUAAUACCGCAUACGCCCUUCGGGAAAGCGGGGGACCUUCGGGCCUCGCACUAUUAGAGCAGCCGAUAUCGGAUUAGCUAGUUGGUGGGGUAACGGCUCACCAAGGCGACGAUCCGUAGCUGGUUUGAAGGGACGACCAGCCACACUGGGACUGAGACACAGCCCAGACUCCGCCACGGGAGGCAGCAGUGGGGAAUUUUGGACAAUGGGGAAACCUGAUCCAGCCAUCCCGCGUGUGCGAUGAAGGCCUUCGGGUUGUAGCUUACACAGCCAGGAAAGAAACGGCACGGGAUAAUACCCCCGAUACAGCGAGCUGUACCUGCAGAAUAAGCACCGGCUAACUACGUGCCAGCAGCCGCGGUAAUACGUAGGGUGCAGGCGUUAAUCGGAAUUACUGGGCGUAAAGCGUGCGCGGGCGGUUCGGAAGAAAGAUGUGAAAUCCAGAGCUUAACUUUGGAACUGCAUUUUGCUACGAGCUAGAGUGUGUCAGAGGAGGUGGAAUUCCGCGUGUAGCAGUGAAAUGCGUAGAUAUGCGGAGGAACACCGAUGGCGAAGGCAACCUCCUGGGAUAACACUGACGCUCAUGCACGAAAGCGUGGGAGCAAACAGGAUUAGAUACCUGGUGAUCCACGCCCUAAACGAUGUCAACUAGCUGUUGGGCCGCUAGGCGCGAAGUAGCGCAGCUAACGCGUGAAGUUGACCGCCUGGGGAGUACGGUCGCAAGAUUAAAACUCAAAGGAUUGACGGGGACCCACACAAGCGGUGGAUGAUGUGGAUUAAUUCGAUGCAACGCGAAAAAGCCUUGUACCUACCCUUGACGCUGUCUGGAAUCCCGAAGAUUGGGAGUGCUCGCCAGAGAACCGGAACACAGGUGCUGCAUGGCUGUCGUCGCUCGUGUCGUGAGAUGUUAGGUUAAGUCCCGCAACAGGCGCAACCCUGUCAUUAGUUGUACGAAAGGGCACUCUAGCGACGAGACUGCCAGUGACAAACCGGAGGAAGGUGGGGAUGACGUCAGAGUCCUCAUGGCCCUUAUGGGUAGGGCUUCACGUCAUACAAUGGUCGGAACAGAGGGUCGCCAACCCGCGAGAGGUAAUCCCAGAAACCCGAUCGUAGUCCGGAUCUUGAUCUGCAACUCUUCGUGAAGUCGAAUCGCUAGUAAUCGCGGAUCCAGCAUGUCGCGGUGAAUACGUUCCCGGGUCUUGUACACACCGCCCGUCACACCAUGGGGAGUGGGUUUUACCGUGGAUUAGCCUAACCGUAAGGAGGCGAUUACCACGGUAGGAUUCAUGACUGGGGGCGGAAGUCGCUUCUUCGUAA